rnacentral:rRNA from 1 species
CAGCAGCCACGGGAAUACGAAGGGUGCAAGCGUUAAUCGGAAUUACUGGGCGUAAAGCGUGCGUAGGCGGUUUGUUAAGUCUGCUGUGAAAUCCCCGGGCUCAACCUGGGAAUGGCAGUGGAUACUGGCAAGCUAGAGUGCGUCAGAGGAUGGUGGAAUUCCCGGUGUAACGGUGAAAUGCGUAGAGAUCGGGAGGAACAUCAGUGGCGAAGGCGGCCAUCUGGGACAACACUGACGCUGAGGCACGAAAGCGUGGGGAGCAAACAGGAUUAGAGACCCCCGUAGUCCCUGUCUCUUAUAC